rnacentral:rRNA from 1 species
GACGAACGCUGGCGGCGUGCUUAACACAUGCAAGUCGAGCGAGAAAGCGGCUUCGGCCGUGAGUACAGCGGCGAACGGGUGAGUAACACGUGGGCAACCUGCCCCAGAGAUUGGGAUAACGUCCCGAAAGGGACGCUAAUACCGAAUAACGCGUGACCUGCCAAGUGGGUCACGCCAAAUGGUAGCCUCGGCCUCUGCUCUGGGAUGGGCCCGCGCCGGAUUAGCUUGUUGGUGAGGUAACGGCUCACCAAGGCGACGAUCCGUAGCUGGUCUGAGAGGACGAUCAGCCACACUGGGACUGAGACACGGCCCAGACUCCUACGGGUGGCAG